rnacentral:rRNA from 1 species
GACGAACGCUGGCGGCGUGCUUAACACAUGCAAGUCGAACGGUGAACCGGGCUUCGGCCUGGGGAUCAGUGGCGAACGGGUGCGUAACACGUGGGCAACCUGCCCCAGACUCAGGGAUAACCCCGGGAAACCGGGGCUAAUACCCGAUACUCCGAUCGAACCACAUGGCUCGAUCGGGAAAGCUCCGACGGUCUGGGAUGGGCCCGCGGCCUAUCAGCUUGUUGGUGGGGUAACGGCCUACCAAGGCGACGACGGGUAGCUGGUCUGAGAGGACGACCAGCCACACUGGAACUGAGAUACGGUCCAGACUCCUACGGGAGGCAGCAGUGGGGAAUCUUGCACAAUGGGCGAAAGCCUGAUGCAGCGACGCCGCGUGGGGGACGAAUGCCUUCGGUUGUAAACCCUUUCGGCAGGGACGAAGCGCAAGUGACGGUAACCUGCAGAAGAAGCUCCGGCUAACUACGUGCCAGCAGCCGCA